rnacentral:snRNA from 1 species
UCAACCUAGUACGAGAGG